rnacentral:lncRNA from 1 species
AGGAAGUUGUUCGAAGAGAUUUACUAACGCGGUCUUCAAAAUGGAUUCUAUAAAUGUAAUAGAUGCAAUUGUCUCUUUCAUCAUACAUACUAGAUCGUCUGAAUUUAGCUCUGCAAUCAUUCAUUGUUGUUUUUAUAUUCAAACUUCCGGGUGAAGUUUAUUGUUAUGCGACAAGCAAACAUGAUGAUUUACACAUUAGCUAAGACGGGUCAUUUCUCAGUGUAAUCACUGUUUACUGGUUGUUUCCUCUUUGUAUUGAGACUUAUUAUUUAAUGAAAUGAAUUGAGUUUAUUAUCUUAAAAAAGAAACUUUUUGUGGAAGAAGAAGUAGUUGACCACUUCACUAUCUAACGAUUAAUUCAUUUUCAUCUUAUCCAUAUCCAUGUCUUCCUCUUAUCCCAUACCAUCAACGAGUAUUACACUAAAUCUAUUAUCAUUUUCUCUUAUUCAAUUUUUU